UGUAAAGGAAAAAUGGUCCAAAAAUCUUUACAUUGCAUCAAUCUGCUAUGGUCGAACUGUCUGCUGAGCUAGUGACGAUCAACGAUCGUAGUCACUUCAUCUUUGAAGAGACCUGGAGGAUGAAUUCAGCUGGUCUUGUUGGAAUUGCCUCCUAAAUGAGUCCUCGUGAUUCUUCAUGUAAAAUCCUUUUCUUUCUUUUUUUUGGUACUGUACUGUACAACUGUGUAAUGGGAAAAGUUAAAACUAAAGUUUAGAAGUUGCUGAGCUAAUGUAGCUGCUGCAUGCUGGCUAGUUUAUUCUAG
rnacentral:misc_RNA from 1 species